UACGGAGGGGGCCAGCGUUGCUCGGAAUCACUGGGCGUAAAGGGCUCGUAGGCGGUCUGAUAAGUCCUGUGUGAAAUCCCUUGGCUCAACCAAGGAACUGCGCCGGAUACUGUCGGACUAGAGGCCGGGAGGGGGAAGCGGAAUUCCCAGUGUAGCGGUGAAAUGCGUAGAUAUUGGGAGGAACAUCGGUGGCGAAGGCGGCUUCCUGGACCGGUUCUGACGCUGAGGAGCGAAAGCUAGGGUAGCAAACAGG
rnacentral:rRNA from 1 species